rnacentral:lncRNA from 1 species
ACAAGCUAGUCGUGCAAGUUUUACUUUUGAAAAAUUUUUGAUUGCACAUAUCUCUUAAUAUUUAAAAAAUUAAAACUUAACUAAAAUUAUACAAAAAUUGACCUCAUUAUUAUAAAUAAAAAUUUUAUAACUCAAUUUUAUUAUUCUAAAAGAAAAAAAAUCUAAAUCCUAUUUUUAUUGAUGUUUUAUUUUUUUAUAAAUAUUUAAGUCAAAUAGGCUGAAAGAAUUUUUUCCUUCUUCCCUACCCGUUGAUAGGCAAAUGUGAAAUAUGAGAUGAUGGCAUAUUGAUC